GGUGAACCCAAUGACAUACAUUACCAAAAGUAGACAUCAACAUGAUUAAGAGGACAUCUUGUUGACUUAAACAAAAAUUGAGAAUAAAAGUACCAAAAGGUCAACAUUAUACAAGUAAGAACAUGCGGUAUGAAUACCAAUGAGACAACUAUCCACCCCAAGUUCAAAGGAGGUGGAUGAGAGCAAGUAUAGGCAACUGUAUGGCCUUUAACAAUGAUAAAAAUUCAUGCAUGAUUUUGAUAGAGAAUACAGACAGGGAAUGUGUCAAAGAGACAUCAACCCGACAAAAGAGCAGGAAACAACCCAAUGCCACCAAUGGGUCGUGUCAUCACCACAGCGAGAUAAUCUCGCAUCCCGUAGCGGGAUUCAGCUUGCACCAAGACAUUUCUAAAUGUAUAUUUUCUAUAUGAUGUUUUUUUCCAAACAUUUUGUUUUUCAUAUAUGCUAUGCUGGUGACCAAAAAUUAAUAUGAUUUUAACAUUUACUUUAUUUUGUAGACAAACCAAUGAUGAUUUCGGG
rnacentral:lncRNA from 1 species